GGUUGAAGUAUGAUUGUAUGAGUGUCCGUUUAUCGUAAAUCUUAUCCCUCCUUUCUUCAUACACGGUACUCUGCAUUUAUACACCAUUGGAAACAACAUAACUCAAUAGUUUAGUUCAACACUUAAGAAAUAGCUCGAUGUUGAUGAAGAUGGCGAAAAUAGUGUGGAUAAGACUCUUGAAAGUAAAAAGAGGAAACCUGAAGAAGUCAGUUCCAGUAACCUUCCUUCGAAGAAGAGCAGAAGAAUUUCUUCAGACAAAAAACUCAGGUGUCUGGAGAUGACUCAAAGGCCUUGAUGGAUCUGAAGUCUGAAA